UACGUAGGGACCAAGCGUUGUUCGGAUUUACUGGGCGUAAAGGGCGCGUAGGCGGCAAUUCAAGUCAUCUGUGAAAUCUCCGGGCUUAACCCGGAACGGUCAGAUGAUACUGCUUUGCUAGAGUGCGGAAGGGGCAAUCGGAAUUCUUGGUGUAGCGGUGAAAUGCGUAGAUGUCAAGAGGAACACCUGAGGUGAAGACGGGUUGCUGGGCCGACACGUGACGCUGACAGCGCGAAAGCCAGGGGAGCAAACGGG
rnacentral:rRNA from 1 species